GAUGAACGCUGGCGGCGUGCCUAAUACAUGCAAGUCGAACGAAACUUCUUUAUCACCGAGUGCUUGCACUCACCGAUAAAGAGUUGAGUGGCGAACGGGUGAGUAACACGUGGGCAACCUGCCCAAAAGAGGGGGAUAACGCUUGGAAACAGGUGCUAAUACCGCAUAACCAUAGUUACCGCAUGGUAACUAUGUAAAAGGUGGCUAUACUACCGCUUUUGGAUGGGCCCGCGGCGCAUUAGCUAGUUGGUAGGGUAAAGGCUUACCAAGGCAAUGAUGCGUAGCCGAAUUGAGAGGUUGAUCGGCCACAUUGGGACUGAGACACGGCCCAAACUCCUACGGGAGGCAGCAGUAGGGAAUCUUCCACAAUGGGCGAAAGCCUGAUGGAGCAACGCCGCGUGGGUGAAGAAGGUCUUCGGAUCGUAAAACCCUGUUGUUAGAGAAGAAAGUGCGUGAGAGUAACUGUUCACGUUUCGACGGUAUCUAACCGGAAAGCCACGGCUAACUACGUG
rnacentral:rRNA from 1 species